UCCAUCUUCUCUCUUUUUCGUCACUUUUUCUCCUAAACCGCCGUUCACUUUCUAAGACGAUUUCCCGGCGAUCCGUGAGGAUCCACGAGACUUCAUACAUAUCAAUCUGUAGCCCCGAAUGUCAGCUUUCCAAGAAGACCGAGUUCAUCAUAAUGGGAGUUUUAUGCCAGGAUAUAUCGUCGUUUUGGUGUGAGAUAUCCAGAUCUGCUUUUAGGCCAGGUGAGGAUUAGAUCUAGGGUCUUCUUUUUAUUCAUUUGUCUUCUUCUGGUGUGUGAGGUCUAGAUCUGAUGAGCAUAGGCUGUUUUCUUGUGCAUCUAGCUAGAUCCAUGUGUAAAUCUAAUGAAAUGAUAUAGGAUCUCAUUAGAGGAAGAACCAUCAUAUUUGAUUGUUCACCCUGAUGUGUGGUUAGUGAUUGGUAGUGUAGCUAGAUCAGGUGUUCAUCUCGGUGGUGAUGUGCCGAGGUAUGGACUUGUUUGCUGGGCUAUUGCUGUCUGUGUGACUAAAGCGGUAGUUCAACGGUGGGGGAAGGUACGCCGAUCCUUCCAGAGUCUAUAAGACGGGAAGCCUGUCUGUGUGACCUGGCAAUGUUGAGCUUGUCUGUGUGACUUGGUGCUUGUCUUUGUGACCUGGCGAUGUAGAGCCUGUCUGUGUGACCUGGCAGUGCCUGUCUGUGUGACCUGGCAAGGUUGGAGACAUCACAAUUGCUUGCUAGUUGUUUGUGCAUUGCUAGGAUGCUUGUGUGUUGUUUGUUGAAUUUAUUCUUGACAUGUUAGUUGGAAAUGAAUGAGUGGGAAGAGAGUCUGGUCUGGUUCUCACUGAGUAAUCCCCAUUACUCACCCCUCCUAUUCCCUUGUCUUAUCAGCUGUAGGUGAAAGAUCAGCCUAAGUCUAUGUUGUUGAUUAUUACCUGGGCGUUUUCGAUCCUGGCAGACUUGAGGCUCACCAUCUGGACCAAACCAGGCGUCUGACCGAAUAUGGUUAGAUGGUCAACUUAACAUGCCCGAUUUCUCAAGUUUUCUUAGGAAGCCUAGAAUAAGAAUGUUACAAUUCUGAUUAUUGCUCUUAUUGGAAGAUUAUUCAUAUCAUAGCAGGAAAAAAACUGCAACUAAUUUAUUUUCAUUUUAUCUCUCAGAUUCUUUUACCAGAAUAAAUAUAUUUCAUCGGAAUUCCUGAAAUGGAAG
rnacentral:lncRNA from 1 species